GUGUCAGCCGCCGCGGUAAUACGAAGGGGGCAAGCGUUGUUCGGAAUUACUGGGCGUAAAGGGCGCGUAGGCGGCUUAUCAAGUCAGGCGUGAAAUUCCCGGGCUCAACCUGGGGGCUGCGCUUGAUACUGAUGAGCUUGAAUGCGGGAGAGGAUAGUGGAAUUCCCAGUGUAGAGGUGAAAUUCGUAGAUAUUGGGAAGAACACCGGUGGCGAAGGCGGCUAUCUGGCCCGUAAUUGACGCUGAGGCGCGAAAGCGUGGGGAGCAAACAGGAUUAGAUACCCCUGUAGUCC
rnacentral:rRNA from 1 species